ACUAUUUGUCGAUGUCGUCUGCAGGAAAAAUCAGAUAUAUAUAACCUUCGCUUGACCGUGGACGCCGUGGCACCAGUACGAAGCAUAUGAUUCCUGUUACUUAGUUAGCUCAACAACGCGUAUAAAUAAGCUUGUUGCCCGCUGGAACAAGAACACGACGACGAGAACGACGACAGCGGCAGGACGAAGGAGCUAGCAGGAGCAACGGCAGCCCUCGGCUCACGUCACAUGGCGACGACGGCGAUCGGAUCAGGACGCGGGUCCGGGACGGCGGCGCUGUGCUUUCUCGUGGCCUGUCUCCUCCUGGCCUCGCCGUCGUCGUUCGUUGCUGGGACUGAAGCGGCGGCGGCCUACGGUGCAGGCGCAGGCGCAGGUGCAGGCAGGAAGCUGAUGCAGACAUCUGCGGGAGCUAUGGGAUACCCCGGAACUAAUCUACCACCAGCGACAUACCCGGCGGUGCCUUGUUGCCCGUGAACUCUGAUCCUACAGCUGCCGCGGCCGAUACAACCCUGCAUAUUUUAUACAAAUCCAACAAAGUAACUAUUACAUGCAUAUGCUACGCGCGUGCUUGUUACAGUGUACAGUAUAUAUGCUGUAGGUGUGUGAGCUAUAUUAUUGUUCAAAAUAAAAAUAAAAAAACCUAGCUUGUGGCACAAACAUUUUCAAUCGUCGGGAAUUGUCCUUUUCUUUUCGUAGCGUUGGCGCUGAUAUGAGCGCCAAACACGAGAAGUUGUUCCAUCUCGUGCAUCUGCCCUUGUUGCAUACUUGCAUCUCGUGCAUCUGCCCCUGGUGCCUCUGCUUGAUGGUGCUGUUGGAGGUGGCCGUGGAGCUUGUCAAGGCGCUGCUCCAUGCCAUGACCUGGUUCACCUCCAAGAUCCCAUGCUAAGUGUCGAGUGCCGAUUUCAGUUCAUCCUAUGCCAACAGCUGUCCCCUGCUGCGUGGAUCAUACGUCUUACUUUUGCCGGUUGAUUGAUUCAUUCUAGUACUACUUUCUUGAAUGAGUGUGCUGAGUUCAUAAGGGAAUUUAUAUCCUUAGUUUGGUGUGUGGGUUUUUGAGUGAAAAAAUUAUAGAGCAAGCCAUGAUGAGCGAAGAUAUGUCUUCCACUGAAAGCACACUUGCCGCUAAGAAGAAAAUUGGGUUCAAGAGUGAUUGUAUGAGCAUGCUCAACCUCUCCCUUUUUUCUAAAUCAUGUAUAUUUUUUAUGACUUGUACUACUGUAGUAUAAUAAGCAAUUCUCAUGCGAGUUCUGUUAAUAAAAAGAAAAAAGAGUUACAAUUGACGCUCAAUUAUGACCUCUCGUAAUUGGUAGAAGUUAACCCUCUUGACUGCUAUUCCCCUUCCCACCAAAGCUCUCACUACCACAAAACAAACAAACAAAAAUUCUGAAUUCCUAGAGUUCUGAAUAAUAGCACAUAGAAGUUCUGAAUUCCUAAUACAAUAGGAGUUCUAAAUAAUAGCGCAUAUAUAGCACAUAGAAAUUCUGAAUUUCUAGUACAGAACUUGUGCAGACAGAAGUGUUUACAUUUGAACUCGUCAGGCUCACCUCAUUGCACAUAGAAGUUCUGAACUUCUAUUGUACAAUAGAAGCGUUUACAAAACGAAGGAUAAAAAAUUAUCAGCCUACAGUCAGAAGCGUUUACAUUUGAACGAACAAAAAUUCUGAAUUCCUAGUACAAGAGAAGUUCUAAUUCUAGUACAGACAGAAGCGUUUACAUUAGCUGUCUGUGACAUCGAUUUGAAAACGUGUGCACCUGAGCAGGAGCUGCAAUAUGUAUGCUAAUGAAUACAUUUUCAGUAAUGACCAUUAGCUUUCUCAUACCUGCAUUUUCAGUGAUGGAUAUCUUAGUAUCAGUAUCAGCCUUCUCUCUUUUGUUCUCGUAGUGAAAUCUUAGUUUUUUUGCUCUUUAUUGAGUCAUGUGGCAUAUACUAAAUUGUAAAUUUGGUUCUACCGCGAGAUGUUGGUUUACCUUGCUUAAAUGGUUAUAGUUGGUGACAUGUAUUUUCAAUGGCAUUUUUCUUUUUAUGACAGUUCUAGACUUCUAGGGGUCGAGUUAUGUAUGAAGUAGCUCCAAUCUUUAGAGGAAGAAUGUCUUAUCAAUGGGUUUUAUGUACUUUUUCUAUCAAAGAGUGAGAUGAAUCAUUAUCUGGAUCUAUGAUCUCGUCAUGUUCAGUACACUGGAAAUGUAGUCUUUUGCAACUUAUUAGUGUCAAGAGACCAUGAGAUAAUUGUGCAGGUUGUUUGAAAAGGCAUUAAUAUUAAGCUGACUGAAAUUUUUUAUUUUGAUAUUAUUGUGGUUGUUUAAAAUCGCGUGUUCAGUGCACCUUUUAGUGCACCUGUUUGAAAUGUGUACUGAAUGUUAGGGCACCUGUUUGAUUGUUGUUACUGGUUUCGUUACUUACUAAGCCUAAAAUAAUGUUAGUUGCUACAAGUUAUAGAAGCUUUAAUCAUUUGUUCUAAACCUAUUAUAUUUCUAGAUUAUUCCUGCACCGGUUCGAGUUGGAGAAGACGAACUUCCACCGUCUUGGGAUCCAAUAUCCUCUCCUUUAGGUACAUGUUAUAUCCUAAAUGUUUUUAUUACAUCCUUUUUCGCUUAUGUUGGUGUUUAUUUUCUGCAAUGAAUUUCUUUUUAGUUAGCAAUGGAUGUGGCAUUAAGUGAUCACCUUAGGAAGAGGAGAGAUGAGGAUGAUGAUAAUAUGAUGUUGUUUUUUUACCUAUGCUACAUAUAUUGUGUUCUAGUUCCAACACAGUAAGGGAAAUGAAGCGAAGGCAUACAUCAAAAUUAAGUGGCGAAGAACAUGUUCAGGAGUUGCUUCAAGGUCAUGUGAAGAAUUGUCGGGUAGCAUUCAGGAUUGAGCCUGAAAUUUUCAAAUCAUCGGUGAAUUAUCUUAGAAGGGAGAGGUUGGUUCGUGAUACCAGGAUUAAGGUCGAAGAAAAGCUAGCAUUCUUCUUAUACAUGCUCAGCCAUAAUGCCUCAUUUGAAGACCUAAUAGAAGAAUUUGGGCAUAGUGGUGAUACAUAUCAUCAUCACAUAAAGCAUUUCUUUGACCUAGUUGUUCCUGUCCUCUCCAAGCAAUUCCUGAAGUCGCCAAAUCCUAAUCAUGUCCAUCAAAAAAUCAAAAGGAAUCCUAGGUUUUAUCCCUACUUCAAGGUGAUUACAUGGACUAUUCUAUCAUAUGUCAAUAAAUGUUCUUUUCCUUCCAAUAUUUAGAAAACCACAUGUAGUUUUUUCUAUGCAGAAUUGCAUUGGCACAAUCGAUGGCACUCAUGUGCCUAUAUCGAUAUCACCUGACAAAGCCGCUCCAUUUAGAAAUAGGAAGGGCACUCUUACUCAAAAUGUAAUGGUAGCAUGUGAUUUGAUCUCAAUGUAACUUUCAUAUCCACUAGGUGGGAGGGGUCCGCGACAGAUGCUAGAGUUCUUAGGGCUGCAAUGAACAGUGGCUUUCAAGUACCCCUAGGGAGAUUUUAUUUAAUAGAUGGUGGUUAUGCCAACACACCAUCUUUCCUUGCCCCAUAUCGCGGAGUUAGGUAUCAUUUGAAGGAAUAUGGGGCAGGUCGCCGAAGACCACAAAACUACAAGGAGAUCUUUAAUCAUCCAUGCAGUGUUGAGGAAUGAUAUUGAGAGGGCCUUGGGAGUUAUAAAGAAAUGCUUCCCCAUCCUUAAGGUUGCCAUGUUUCAAAAAAUAGAAAACCAAGUGAAGAUACCGGUAGCAGUUGCUGUGUUGCACAACAUUAUUCGAUCUCUCAAUGGAGAUGAACAAUGGUUAGAAGAUCAGAUAGAAAAUGUUCAAGGCAAUGUUGUUGACCUUCCAGAUGGAGAUCAAAGCAAUGAUCAAGGCAAUGAACAAGGCAACAAUCUCAGAGUCACAAUUGCACAACAAAUGUGGAUUGAUUAUCAACAACAUAGAAACAAUUAGUGAUGCAUUAGAAUAUAUUUUAUGUUAUUAGGAUUGCAAUAAGUUCUUAGGAAAUGUAGUUUGUACUAGUUAUGAUGCUUUAAUGUUAUUCGAAUAUGCUUUCAGUUCAAUAAUCUCUAAAAUUUAUUGUUCUUCAUAAUUAUGCUUUUAUGUUCUAAAUAUGCUCAUGUUAUAAGUUAACAUGAUUGGAAGGGGGUCUCCAAGAUUAAACAUGCUUGGAAGGGGUCUCCGAGAUUUAACAUGCUCUUAUCUAAAGGUGCACAAAAGAAAAAAAUCUCCUAUAGAUACUGCUUCAAAGACACAUGAAGGCUCUCCAAAAGGGAAAACAAGAGCAAAUUGGAAUUCUAUGUUAGGGAAGACCCUUGAUGACUUGUUACAUGAACACAAUACACCUGAAUAUAAGGGUAACAAUGAUUGGACACCCGUUGCAUGAAACAAGAUUGCCAAGGAAUUUCAACAGAGGGAAAGAUAAGCAGGUUUUUCAAAAGUUCAAAUCCAAGAAAAGGAAAAGGAGUUAAAGAGAGAUUACAAGAUAUUGAAGAUGCAAAGAAACAGAGCGAAGUUUCUUGGGAUGAGAGAAGGUGUAUGAUUCAAGCUGAUCCAUCGAUAUGGGACAACAUAAUCAAAUCAUUUCCAUGGGCUAAAAAAUUCUGUAACAAAUCUUUUCCUCUGUUUGAAGCUUUGGGAGAACUACAUGAUGAUCUCACACAAAUUAGGUCUGAAGAUGUUCCUAGCAAUGUAGAAGACCUUGAAGAUGUGGGAUACCCUUUGGCAGAUCACAGACAAAAUGAAGCAGAAGAUAGAGUGUAUGAAGUUGAAGGAGUUGAUGUAAAUGCGGAUAGACAGGAUGAAAGGUAAAAAAGGACUUCUUCUAUUUCAAGAAAUGAAGAAGAAAAAGACCUAAGAUGCCGAAGAAGACUUCCAACAUAGAAGUAUUGAUGGAGAGGUGCCUAGACAUUAGAAGCAAACAAGCUAAAGAUGAAGCGACACAAUUGGCAAGAGAAAGGGAGGCAAGAGGAGGUGAUUAUUUCUCAAUUAAGAAUUGCAUAGCAGUUCUAAACACAUUGGAAGUCAUAAAGGAGGAGAAGGUCAAAGCCUAUAAGGUGUUCAAGGACUCUGACAAUCGACAUAUAUUCUUUAGUGCAUGGAAUGAUGAUAGAGAGGCUGCAUUGAUGUGGUUGAGGGAUGAGAUGGCUUAG